rnacentral:rRNA from 1 species
AACGCGAAGAACCUUACCAAGGUUUGACAUGGCCGGAAAAGCCGCAGAGAUGUGGUGUCCUUCGGGGUCGGUCACAGGUGGUGCAUGGCUGUCGUCAGCUCGUGUCGUGAGAUGUUGGGUUAAGUCCCGCAACGAGCGCAACCCUCGUCCUAUGUUGCCAGCGGGUCAUGCCGGGGACUCAUGGGAGACUGCCGGGGUCAACUCGGAGGAAGGUGGGGAUGACGUCAAGUCAUCAUGCCCCUUAUGUCUUGGGCUGCAAACAUGCUACAAUGGCCGGUACAGAGGGCUGCGAACUCGCGAGAGUAAGCGAAUCCCGGAAAGCCGGUCUCAGUUCGGAUCGGGGUCUGCAACUCGGCCCCGUGAAGCUGGAGUCGCUAGUAAUCGCGGAUCAGCAACGCCGCGGUGAAUACGUUCCCGGGCCUUGUA